GAACUUCCGUUAAUUGAUUAUGACGUACUUGUACUGAUUGAGAUUUUAACACGAAGUGAGUGGCGAACGGGUGAGUAACACGUGGGUAACCUGCCCAGAAGUAGGGGAUAACACCUGGAAACAGAUGCUAAUACCGUAUAACAGAGAAAACCGCAUGGUUUUCUUUUAAAAGAUGGCUCUGCUAUCACUUCUGGAUGGACCCGCGGCGUAUUAGCUAGUUGGUGAGGUAAAGGCUCACCAAGGCAGUGAUACGUAGCCGACCUGAGAGGGUAAUCGGCCACAUUGGGACUGAGACACGGCCCAGACUCCUACGGGAGGCAGCAGUAGGGAAUCUUCCACAAUGGACGCAAGUCUGAUGGAGCAACGCCGCGUGAGUGAAGAAGGGUUUCGGCUCGUAAAGCUCUGUUGUUAAAGAAGAACGUGGGUAAGAGUAACUGUUUACCCAGUGACGGUAUUUAACCAGAAAGCCACGGCUAACUACGUGCCAGCAGCCGCGGUAAUACGUAGGUGGCAAGCGUUAUCCGGAUUUAUUGGGCGUAAAGCGAGCGCAGGCGGUCUUUUAAGUCUAAUGUGAAAGCCUUCGGCUCAACCGAAGAAGUGCAUUGGAAACUGGGAGACUUGAGUGCAGAAGAGGACAGUGGAACUCCAUGUGUAGCGGUGAAAUGCGUAGAUAUAUGGAAGAACACCAGUGGCGAAGGCGGCUGUCUGGUCUGCAACUGACGCUGAGGCUCGAAAGCAUG
rnacentral:rRNA from 1 species